UACCUCAUAGCUCAGUCGGUAGAGCAGCACCCUGUUAAGGUGACGGUCGUUGGUUCAAAGCCAACUGAGGUAGCAA
rnacentral:tRNA from 1 species